rnacentral:rRNA from 1 species
CCUACGGGUGGCAGCAGUAGGGAAUAUUUCUCAAUGGGCGAAAGCCUGACGCAACAACGCCGCGUGGAGGAUGAAGGCUUUCGGAUUGUAAACUUCUUUUGUCAGAGACGAUAAUGAUGGUAACUAAUGAAUAAGCAGCGGCUAACUUCUUGCCAGCAGCCGCGGGAAUAAGAAGGGUGCAAGCAUUACUCGGAGUCACUGGGCGUAAAGAGCGCGUAGGCGGGAAAGCAAGUCAGAUGCGAAAUCCUAUGGCUUAACCAUAGAACUGCUUGUGAAACUGUUAUUCUUGAGUAUGGGAGAGGUAAGUGGAAUUCCUGGUGUAGGGGUAAAAUCCGUAGAUAUCAAGAGGAACACUAAUAGCGAAGGCGGCCUGCUGGAACGUAACUGACGCUGAUGCGCGAAAGCGUGGGGAGCAAACAGGAUUAGAUACCCCUGUAGUC